rnacentral:snRNA from 1 species
GUAUGUGAGGGUGAUCUGGUUGUGACAUCUUUCAUGCCCCCAUUGAUUGCCAGGGUUGAUCCAGCUGAUCUGGCUGGCCAGGCACGUGUCUCCUGCUUCUCUCACCACUCCACGUGCGUCCCUCCCGAAGCUCCAUGCUUGGUCAGAGAGGUCAGCCAUCCCCAAUAGAGAGGGGUUUCCUUGGUCAAGGGUAUUCAAGUAGCUAUGCUCCCCUGCUAAAAGUCCAGACAAGCUCUUGACAAGUUUGUCCAUCACCACUGGCCUGAUAUUUUAUUUUUAGUGAUACUGUUAGGUCAGUUUUGCUCUUUAAAAGUCACCUAUUACAGAGCAGAUUCUACUUCUUGAUAAUCUACCUU